UACGUAGGGUGCAAGCGUUAAUCGGAAUUACUGGGCGUAAAGCGUGCGCAGGCGGUUAUGCAAGACAGAUGUGAAAUCCCCGGGCUCAACCUGGGAAUGGCGAUGGAUACUGGCUCGCUAGAGUGCGGUAGAGGAGAGUGGAAUUCCCGGUGUAGCAGUGAAAUGCGUAGAGAUCGGGAGGAACAUCAGUUGCGAAGGCGGCUCUCUGGACCAGCACUGACACUGAGGCACGAAAGCGUGGGGAGCAAACAGG
rnacentral:rRNA from 1 species